CAAGGACAUUGGAAUGUCGUUCGGACAAGAAAAGUGCAGGCGAAUGAUAGCAAAAAGAGGGAAGAUGAUCAGGACAUAAGGCCCGAUAGAAGAUAUAGAGAACAGCUACAAGUACCUGGGGGUACCACAAAUGCAUGGCAACCAUGAGGAAGAGACAAGGAGGAUAGCAACAUCCAAGUACCUCAAAAGAGUCAGACAGGUCCUGAAGUCCCAGCUCAAUG